rnacentral:rRNA from 1 species
UACGGGGGGAGCAAGCGUUGUUCGGAUUUACUGGGCGUAAAGGGCGCGUAGGCGGUCAGCACAAGUCAGUUGUGAAAUCUCCGGGCUUAACCCGGAAAGGUCAACUGAUACUGUGCGACUAGAGUGCGGAAGGGGCAACUGGAAUUCUCGGUGUAGCGGUGAAAUGCGUAGAUAUCGAGAGGAACACCUGCGGCGAAGGCGGGUCGCUGGGCCGACACUGACGCUGAUGCGCGAAAGCCAGGGGAGCGAACGGG